rnacentral:lncRNA from 1 species
GUGGACCUCAAAGAGAACGUCUUUAAAUGUCCAGUGGCCAAGGGUUCUGUAGCCGACUAGGAGUCAGCGUCCGAAUCGGAACAACUCAAGACCUCUUUUCAGGGGGCGUCCAGUGAGUUUUUUUCAGCAAGGUGACUCCCCCUGUGGCUGCCUGCUACUACAGCUGGAAAGGUCCAAGCUGAAAUGUGACUAAUCUGAGUUUCUUCCACCAAGCAUGUUAGUUAGGGGUGGAGGACUAGAACCUAGAACCCUGAAUUCGAGCCUGGAAGAUAUGUAAGCCACAUGCUAUUGAGAUCGUGGUCAUGGGACACCCGCUAACACAAACCUUCUGGUAGGAAGUUUUUGAGAAGACUGGGUCCAAUAUCCCCAAGCUAAAAUCCCACUGGCCCAUCGCUGUGUUUGCUCAGAAAAGGAAUCUGGGUUCUUUGGUUUCUGCUUUCCAGUUGACCCUGGUUGCUCCUCUGUUUUACGGCAUUUUGGGAGUCAGUCUCCCAGAGCAGCGCUGAUUGUAAUGAGAAGCGCGUUCCCUCUCUGGGGGACAGGAGCAGUGGGAGACAAAUGGGCCUGGGAAAGAGCUCCUCCAAAUAAAACUUAUUCGACAGAUACGGGUUAUGGUGGUGAUGGUGGUGGUGGUGGUGGUGGUGGUGGUGUUUUGGUCUUUAUCCUGUUGUACAGCGCCUCAUUUUUUACAAUGUGGGCCAGUAACUAUUUCGUAUCACCUACUCUGACCACCUUCAGGGUUGUUAUGAGGCUCAAAGGAACUGCUGCUGUGAAAAAACAUGCUUUGCAAUUUAUGAAGCACUGGAUAAACAUCAGGAACGGUAUAAAAGCAUGCUGCUUACUCAAGAAAUACUAGUUGAGUGCCUGUGUGUUGGGCACUGGCUAGAGAUAAGGGUCUCCUAUGGACAGAAGUGCGGGCAAGGAGCUUUGUUCCUCCCCGAUGUCACCCUCCCACAGCCCACUUGCUAGCAGGCGAGAGAGGGGUGGAGGCCGGCAGUAAGGCAUGUACUGAACUGGACCUCUGGUGGAAUGGCAUCACCCACGCUGGGCUUGGUGGGUAUUUGAAAGUGACUCUUCCGUGAACACUGUUGUGAGCCCUCACUGGGAAUGUUUGGCCAUGCUUCCUGACGCUGGC